rnacentral:rRNA from 1 species
CCGUCUUGAACACGGACCAAGGAGUCUAGCAUGUGCGCGAGUCAUAGGGAGUCUUCUAAACCCUGAGGCGUAAUGAAAGUGAACAGCGUCGCAUCUCCGCUCGGUCCCUCGGGGCCGGCGCGCGAGUACGACCGCAGGGACGAUGGCGGACGGCCGAUUUUUACGUUGACCGUCCUCGCCCGCAGUCCCGGGGCGUUUCGAGAAAUGCCUCCGUUGCGAUUAUCGAGACGCACCGAGAGCGCACACGCCGGGACCCGAAAGAUGGUGAACUAUGCCUGGUCAGGUCGAAGUCA